GAGAAAAAAAACAAGGGCGAAUGGAGGAUGCCUAGGCUUUUGGAGGCGAAGAAGGACGUGGUAAGCUGCGAAAAGUUGCGGGGAUUAGCA
rnacentral:rRNA from 1 species